UACAGAGGGGGCGAGCGUUGUUCGGAAUUACUGGGCGUAAAGGGCGCGUAGGCGGCCCGCUAAGUCGAACGUGAAAUCCCCAGGCUCAACCUGGGAACUGCGUCUGAUACUGGAUGGCUUGAGAUUGGGAGAGGGAUGCGGAAUUCCAGGUGUAGCGGUGAAAUGCGUAGAUAUCUGGAGGAACACCGGUGGCGAAGGCGGCAUCCUGGACCAACACUGACGCUGAGGGAGCGAAAGCCAGGGGAGCAAACGGG
rnacentral:rRNA from 1 species